AACGCACGAGACCUGCGGACCUGCGGAAGGAUCAUUAAUGAGAAGCUGCCCCUCGUGGGUAGACCUCCCACCCUCUGUGAACUUACCUUUGUUGCUUUGGCAGGCCCGUCCUCUGGACCGCCGGCUUCGGCUGGCCCGUGCCUGCCAGAGGACUCCAAACCCUGUCUGUCAGUGUUGUCUGAGUCUAUAUGAAAUCGUUAAAACUUUUAACAAUGGAUCUCUAGAUCGGAAGAGCACACG
rnacentral:misc_RNA from 1 species